rnacentral:rRNA from 1 species
AUGAACGCUAGCUACAGGCUUAACACAUGCAAGUCGAGGGGCAGCAUGGUCUUAGCUUGCUAAGACUGAUGGCGACCGGCGCACGGGUGAGUAACACGUAUCCAACCUGCCGUCUACUCUUGGACAGCCUUCUGAAAGGAAGAUUAAUACAAGAUGGCAUCAUGAGUCCGCAUGUUCACAUGAUUAAAGGUAUUCCGGUAGACGAUGGGGAUGCGUUCCAUUAGAUAGUAGGCGGGGUAACGGCCCACCUAGUCUUCGAUGGAUAGGGGUUCUGAGAGGAAGGUCCCCCACAUUGGAACUGAGACACGGUCCAAACUCCUACGGGAGGCAGCAGUGAGGAAUAUUGGUCAAUGGGCGAGAGCCUGAACCAGCCAAGUAGCGUGAAGGAUGACUGCCCUAUGGGUUGUAAACUUCUUUUAUAAAGGAAUAAAGUCGGGUAUGCAUACCCGUUUGCAUGUACUUUAUGAAUAAGGAUCGGCUAACUCCGUGCCAGCAGCCGCGGUAAUACGGAGGAUCCGAGCGUUAUCCGGAUUUAUUGGGUUUAAAGGGAGCGUAGAUGGAUGUUUAAGUCAGUUGUGAAAGUUUGCGGCUCAACCGUAAAAUUGCAGUUGAUACUGGAUAUCUUGAGUGCAGUUGAGGCAGGCGGAAUUCGUGGUGUAGCGGUGAAAUGCUUAGAUAUCACGAAGAACUCCGAUUGCGAAGGCAGCCUGCUAAGCUGCAACUGACAUUGAGGCUCGAAAGUGUGGGUAUCAAACAGGAUUAGAUACCCUGGUAGUCCACACGGUAAACGAUGAAUACUCGCUGUUUGCGAUAUACAGCAAGCGGCCAAGCGAAAGCGUUAAGUAUUCCACCUGGGGAGUACGCCGGCAACGGUGAAACUCAAAGGAAUUGACGGGGGCCCGCACAAGCGGAGGAACAUGUGGUUUAAUUCGAUGAUACGCGAGGAACCUUACCCGGGCUUAAAUUGCAGAUGAAUUACGGUGAAAGCCGUAAGCCGCAAGGCAUCUGUGAAGGUGCUGCAUGGUUGUCGUCAGCUCGUGCCGUGAGGUGUCGGCUUAAGUGCCAUAACGAGCGCAACCCUUGUUGUCAGUUACUAACAGGUUCCGCUGAGGACUCUGACAAGACUGCCAUCGUAAGAUGUGAGGAAGGUGGGGAUGACGUCAAAUCAGCACGGCCCUUACGUCCGGGGCUACACACGUGUUACAAUGGGGGGUACAGAGGGCCGCUACCACGCGAGUGGAUGCCAAUCCCAAAAACCUCUCUCAGUUCGGACUGGAGUCUGCAACCCGACUCCACGAAGCUGGAUUCGCUAGUAAUCGCGCAUCAGCCACGGCGCGGUGAAUACGUUCCCGGGCCUUGCACACACCGCCCGUCAAGCCAUGGGAGCCGGGGGUACCUGAAGUGCGUAACCGCGAGGAGCGCCCUAGGGUAAAACUGGUGACUGGGGCU